AAGUGGGUGUCGCUGUUUGACAAUAAAACUUUAUUUAUAAAACAAGCAGAAAGCUCAACUCCAUUUAUUUUCCUCUGCCAAAUCUUUGGAAAGACACAUUUAAGCACUGUGGCUUCAGAUUCUUUUGAGUAUAAAGAAACAAAUAAGCAAAACAAGGAAGACUUCAUUAUCUCACAUAACAAAAAGCCCAGACAUCGGUAGUCUUGAGCUUGGUUUUAUUCAGUGUCCCGGCCAUCUUCAGCAUUUUGGCCCAGCAACUCCUGCUGCUUGUCAAAGGCUUCUGAACUUGCCGAGGACACAUGCACAGUUGGGGGAAGAGGGAGAGAAGACCACAGUAACGUUCCUGUAAUGCUGAGGCAAUCCUUGCAGAGGGUUUCUCUCACUCCCACUGGCCAGAGCAGGGAUGGUGCCUCUCUGAGGCUGGGUGAGUGACUAUACAUCUGUCUAAGGGGCAGGUAGGUGCAUAGGGAACUUCAGACUCUGCAGGUAGCAAAGGCUGUUCAUGGGAAGAAGCUCCUCUGGAGACAAUGGCCCAUGGUGUGCUGAGCCAGCAGGUGACAAGAAGAGGAGGGAAUUGGCUGGACAGACAGAAGGCUCAAAGGGUACAUACACUCUUUGCAGAUCACCAUGCCCAAGUAACACAGCUCUAGGGAACUGAAAGCCUCCCUGCUAGAGCAAGGCAGUAUGACCAUGGGGCACAGCGAGCUACCCAUAACCACAGCAUUAGGAAGUGAAAAUAGGGGAAUGAGGAACAGCCCCUGGGGUAAGGGGGUUGGGUUAGGGCUGGGGUUAGCCUGUGAGUGCUGGAGCAGAAUAGGAUCUUGGAGAUGCUGUUUAGGUUGGUGUCUUCUGUCAACUUUACUAGAGAUCCCAGGUGUUGGAGGCUGCUCCUUACAGGCACUUGGCCGAGGAAGCCUUGCUGAGCCCAGGAUUCUUAUCCCAGAUUUGGAGAUGGCAGUGGAGAAGCCUGGGGCAGUUGUUACAACACUUUCUGCCCAUCAGAGGUGGGGGAGGGACACCCCAAGCAUUCGAGCACAAGGAGGCUCAUUUGGCAGCAGGUGGAGGACUCACUCUGCUUGUUGGGGAGUGGACUAACAGGUGCUCAGUGAGGCAGAGCCACAAAGCACCAUGAACUCAGUUUCCUAAAACACCACGCCUACGUUGAAGAUUCUACAGACUGACUAAAUAGAACUCCAUGAUUGCAGAGUCUGGAUGCUGCAGAACCAGAGAAGAAAUUAUCUGGGGCUGGCUGUGGUCUGCUUGUCACUGAUCUAUCUCUCUCACCUCUGUAUCUGGCUUACCAUCAUCACCUUUACUGUGAAAGCUGUUUUGUGUCUGUAGUCUACAAAGGUGGAAAUAAGUUUGUCAAGACCUAUUUUGGGAGCUUCUGGCAAGCUGGCCCUCUCAACCCCCACCUCCCUCAUCCUCCCUGUUAACCAUUUCCUGUCCUCUUCUUCAUCCAUUCCUUGAUAAACAGGGCCACAGGUGACUUAAGUAGAAGGGAACGUGUCUACUCGGGACUGAAUGCUUGUAUGCCCAUCUGCUACCCCUCUGCACUCAAAUUUAUUUGUUGACAUCCUGGUCCCCAGGAUGUCGGGAUGGUGUUGGGAGGUAAGGCCACUGGAAAGUGCCUGGCUUAUUUGCAUGGAGCCUGCAGGAAUGGAAACAGUGUCACAGUAAGAAGAGACACAACGAGAUGAAUUCUACCGUGGAAGUUGUAUGGAUCAGGAAGCAGGCCCUCCCAAGCCUCUUACAAUGCUGGAGUCCUGACACCGAGCUGUCAGAACAGUGAGACAGUAGUGUGUGCUGGUUAAUCCUGGUUUGCACUGCCUGUUUGUCUCUGCUGCCCAAGCCAAGCCAGGACAUUAGGUCAAAGCUCUCCUGACUCAGAGAUGAGGGGAGAUAAGAACAAAUGUCCAUCCACCUGACCCAGGUCACCGAUGGCAGACCACAGAAACAACUCCACCAAGUCUGGCCUAGUAAGCCAGUGGGUUUAUAGUUUUUUAACUGGAAGAUGGGCUCAAAGGCAGCUAUACCACCAGAAAGCCCAUGCUAGCAUCAGUGAUGACUCUGAAAAGCUGCAUCUCUGGGCUCUCUGCAUAACUUUAGGCAGAGUCUCCCUGCCCUGAGCAUCACUGCUUUCACAAGGGGAGGGGCUUAUCGAUUCUGUAACUCUGGCUUUCUGGGUCUUCUAAGUUUCCUUAACCUGUGGGUCUUAAGAGCUCCCAUCCCCUAGUUAGAAGGGAGUGUUCCAGGGGAGAGACUUCACAGCAGGAGGGGCUUCUGAGUGGGCUCUAGAGCCAAAAGCAGGUGAAAGGCACACACAGGUGAAGUCUAUAGCCAGCCCAGCCUUUGGUCUCCUGCCAGUGUUAGUAUCCUUGUCUGGAGCCCAGUGGGGAAGAUGCGGUACUGGUUUCAGCCACAGGCUAAUGUGCACAUGACUAAAUUCUUCAUGCUUUGGUUUCUCCAUCCACAAGAUAGGAUCGAAGCAGAGCAGGACUUCUAGACCAUGAGGACUGGAGGAGAUAAAAUGUCCUAAGCAGGGCACACACUCAGGGCUUGAUUUUGUCAGUGGUUACAGUCCUUGUGAUCUGCAUGAUCCCUCCACCGCACAAGGAACUGUCUCUGACCUCUGUGGAAGACUAAUCUGAUCGCUUUGCACUAUUGCCUUUGGCCACACUCCCCAGGUCCCAAGACAGGCGAUGGUGUGUCUGACCAGAAUUCUGUUCUUACUCUAGAGGGAGGCCCAGGAAAGCUGAAAUGUAGGAGAGUCCCAGGGUUUCACAGCACAGUUAUACAAGCAGUAAAUCAGGGGGGAGGGGCAGUGGGACGGGGAUGGAUGGCACUCCUGAGAGUCCUCGCUCAGGAUAAAAUGGCUUUGUAGUGAUGCGGCCCACUUCUGAGUCAUCCAAGCUCAAGCAAGCAGUUCCCUACCUGUAAGUAAACUCAAUAAACUUAGCUCACUGACUCAUGAGGCUACACCUGGGUGGAAUCCUUGUUUGUUGCUGGUACCUGACUAGAGUGAAAAGACAUUUCUUCACAUCUCCCCAGGAAAAGUCACACAUAGAUACAACCCAACUUUCCUCCCUCCAUUUCUAAACUGCCCAAAUUCAUCAUGUAAUGUAACAUUUGUGAUUGACUGUGAGACCCUGUCUGCCUCCUAUUUGCCACAAUUAGCAUACAUCUAUGGGAUCUGGCAGAGUGCUAGAAUCAGCUCUUUAACCCCAUUACCCAGUGCACACAGUAAGUACUUAAUAAAUGUUUGCUGAGCUAAGCUGACUCCUUUCCUUAACCCCAGUCUUAGAGCUUAUACUGGCUCUGAUAGUCUGAAAUAAAGGAACGUUCUUGUUCCACUCUGGAAAGAGGAACCAGCACUUGGGGCCUGAAAAUAUACUGCUCAGUUUCCUGGAAGCUGGACCCUCAAGUGACAGUGGGCUGGGGAUGGGUGUGGCCUCGGGAUGGGUGUGGCCUCAAACAGAGCAGCUGCUUGGGGACAAAUGAGUCAUUUUCACUUAUCCGCUCUUUGAAGAGUAUUUUGAUUUGGGACUUCCUGGCGCUUCAGUAUCCGUGAGCCAGUAAACAGUCCCUUCCAAAGACGACUCAGUCAGCCCUAGUGUAGUCUCCACUUGCACAGGUUGUCUUAAGAGAUGCCACAAAGUCUCAGAAAGUCUUGCUAUUAAAGAAAAAUCACAGUUUAUUCUAGACUCUGGAUACCCCUUGGCCUUGCUCUGUUGCCCGGUCACAAGUUCCUUAUUAGUCCUCACAUCUGGAUGCCUCCAGAUCAGAGUGGCAGGACCCUUAGGGAUGGUCUCAUGUGAGGAACAACCUAAGGCCUCAAAUUUUAGCAGACCUGUGCUUUGUGGAACCCAGACUAUAAUUUAACUGGAAUUCCACUUCACUGAAAUUCUACUUCUUAUUUCCAUGGGCAAAAGUCAGGGUUUAGUUCUUCCCUCUUUUCCUAUGAUGACAAGAUAUUUGGCCACUUAGGUAAGUCCCAGGAGAAGCCUCAUUCCAGCUGUCAUGGGCAGUCCUUUAUCCCCGAGAUUUCACCCUUUCUUCCAUUUCUAGCCUGUAGAAUACCCUACAGUUCAACAAGCAGGCCAGCAGCUGUCCCCAGAGCUUUGAGGGCCAGGUGAUAGGUGAAUCUGUCUACACAGAUAGCUUGAGACUCAAGCAUACACAGGGUAUGAGAUGAAGGCUUUUCUUGUUUUGAAAUUUCAGCAAGGAGCAGGGUGGGAUAGAACCCAGGAAAAGAGGCGUAGCUACUCUUUCAAACAAACACACCCUUGGCUGGUAUAAAAGAACUGAACAGAACUUGAUAGGAAUAACUUUCAGCCUAGAGGGACAGCUGUGGGCUGGAGAGCUGACCAAGAGGGGAGAGCAUCGUGUCAGAGUGGCUGUAGGCACCCACAUCCCAGGAAUGUGGCAAUGGAGGGCAGAGGGAUUCUGUGAGGAUGUAGCUUAUGUCAUUACAUCUAAGCCUCAGCCAAUCUCAGGGAGAGAGGCUAUAAUUAACCCCUCUUUACAACCAGGGGAGUGGAGGCUGAUGGGAGGUCCAUAAGCUCAGGCUACAUCUCUAGUGAAGAACAGACACAGGGCUCAAGGCUGGGGCUUGUGUAUGUGAUGGAAAGUCUCAUCAGUGUGUGCCAUGCUCUCACAAUCAUGGAAAGGGAUGGGCGAGGGAGGGAGGGAAGAAGGGAGCCAGGGAGUGAGCAAGUGAGUGAGAGAGUGAGUGAGCCAGGGAGUGAGCAAGGGAGCGAAUGGAGCAGCUUUCUUGGACUCAGAAUGGCUCAGAGAACCCUCUUCCCAGCAGUAGCAACAACAGCAACAAAACCCCCCAAAAUGCAAAAUGAUUACUGUUCAAUACAAUGCACUUUCAUCUUGGAGAAAACUGUGCAAUACCAACCACUUAAAUCUCUCAGAAAGGUAGGAGUGCACAGCAAAUGGAGAAAUAGUCACGAAGACCAAGGACAGUUGAACCCUGACUCUUUGACUAUCUGAGGGUCUUCUAUUGCCCCUCCCCUUCUUCUUUUCUGAGACAAGGUCUCACGUUUCCCAUCCCCAGCUAGACUGGAAAUUAUUAUAUGAAGACUAGGAUGACUCUGAGCCCCUGGUCUCCUGCUCCUACCUCCCUAGUGCUGUAUUGUACCGAGGAAGCAAUGUCUAGACUUUAUGAGGCAGGGGAUUGGACCCAGUGUAUCAUGCCUACUAGGCAAGUGUCUAUCAACUGAGCUAUAUCCUCAGCUUCCCCUUUAAGCUGUGGUUCCAUUUUGAGAGAACAAGAUGCUGUGUCCCUCAUGUCUCUUGCCUCUGUGUUUCUGAAGUUCUGUUUCAGGAGGCCUAGCAGGAUGGUGGAGCCCUGACCCUGACUCCUCCAUAACCCAAUGCAAGGAGUUCAUAUCUUCUUGAGUACAAAUACCAGAACAAACACAGCCAAGUCACAAAGAGUGGAGAAAGAUUUACUACCUGCAGGAGGCAAUGAGAACAUAAGAGUAACUCAAAACCAACACCCUCAAACCAAGAGAGCCCAGGACCUCAUCCAGGAAACGUACAUCCAUUUACAUAGUGGUUGGACUCUUUUCUGAGCAUACCCACUUUAUGGUUUAAGAAGGAAAAAUAGUAGGCCUAUCUUUAGGACAUGCUUAGUUCAAGGUCAUGGUAAAGUAGGGUAGAAAGACAGGGGAAGACUAUGGCAACGUUGGAAGGGAAACGUAGCCCUCACUCAGAGAUCUAGUUGGUGUUUAAAGAAACAUCAGUACAAUUGAUAAACUGAAACAGUUUACAGAAAUGCUGGGUUUUUUUUUUCCUGAAGACAUCUCAGAUAAAAUAUGUUGUAAAACAAUAAAUAGGGCAUGUGUACUUAGGGCCAGGACAUUCAUAACCCCGAGUUAAACCUUUUCAGUACCCCUGUCUCAUCCCUAAACCCAAAUGAUACACCCCAUAAACUCACCUUAUCAUUUCCUGUACAGAAGAACAUUCUUUAACAUAUGGACUGCUCAAUUUUUAAGCUUUGCUUAAUCACUAAACAUUGCUGUAAAUGAUACCCUAAAUGAUACCCUUGGAGCCAUGGGUCUCAGAGAGCAUUGGGUCCUACACAUAGCCAUUGUGAAGCCACUCAAGUAGGGGAGUGGGGGAUCUCCUUUGGAGAAGCCCACACCAUCACCACCGUGUAUCAGUUAUGUAAUAUCCUUCCCCCCACCUCCUCCCCCAUCCCCCUCUCUCUGCCAGCACCCACAUAUACGUGAACGGUGUACUAUCCUCAUCUUUAUCCCAUCAACUCUAUAACUUGGUUUCACUCUCAGUUGUCUUGAAAUUGUUUACUCCUCUGGAGUCAGUGCUCUGGCUUUACCUGACUGGAAGCCGUUGAGGGAAGCAGUUGUUAGGGAGACUGCGCUGACCUGCAGCCUCUCCACCCCCAGGGUAGCACCUGUUUAAAUGAUAGGACCAGAGAAAUUUCUGGGCACGCUCAACUUGUAUCAUGAAGUCAGUAGACGUUGUGAUAUAGUUAAGAAUAAGGGAAAAGAUGCUUUUGGUACAGAACAUGUUUUAAUAUAAGGAUCUGCCGCCUCUAAUGGCGCUGGCCUCACUUAGAGUCUUAGACUGGGAAGGAUGAACCAAGGCUAUCAAGACCCACUCUCUCCUAUGCUCACCCAUCUAGGAAAAGUAUCCCCCAAGAUCCUUUGCUGCUGAGGGCUUGGCCAGAAAGAAAGAAUGGAAAGCUCAGAGAUCUGCCCUGGGGAAAGGCCUCUUUCAGAACAGAAUGUGAAGAAUUCACACUGAGUCCUCAGAAACAUUGUAAAUACAUCUUGGAGAGAAUAAAUAAAUAAAAGGGUGUUCAGAACACCCUGGUGCUGGUAGCAAUAAACAAAUCGCUGAAUCCUCACUUAAUAGAGAACUAGACGCAGAGAGCCAAGGAGACUCCUGUGGGAUCAGCCUAUCCUGGGAGAUGCAGAAACUGCUGCUCAGUGCAGCCUGUGCCCAUUUGGGAGCAGUCAGGUCAGGGUGUGUGGAGGCUCCAGUUACCUGAUUCAAGUUAUGACGUGCUCAGGACAGUAAAAGUUACAAGGAUACAAAGCAGAUUAGUGGUUUCAUAGGACAGAAACUGGGAGGCGAGGGGUGAGUCUUAGUGGUUACAGGGCUGGAUUUCUUUUUUUGGGGGGUGGGGGUGGGAUGAGCAUAUAAUGAACUUGAGAUGUGAAUGCAUAUAAUGAACUCAGAUUAGAAAUACACUAAGAUCCACUUAACUGUAUGGUUUAACUUGGUCAAUUUUAUGACAGCAAACUACAUCUUAUUAAGGAUGUUUAAGAAAAGCAAAGCAAGCUAACCAACCAACCAACCAACCAACCAACCAAUCAACCAACCAACCAACCAAGAACCAAAGAUUUCUAACACUAUAUAAGCUGAUGAGAGACUGCAGUGGUUUGAAUGAGAAAUGUCACCCAUCUAGUUGGUGCUGCUGUUUGGGAAAGUUAUGGAGACGUUAGGAGGUGCAACCUCACUGGAGGAAGUACAUCCCCAGGGGUGGGCUUUGAAGGUUCACAGCCUCAUGUCACGAUUGCCCUCCCCACUCGGCCUCAUUUUCAGUGUGUGGAUGAAAUGUGGCCAGCUGGCCUCUAGCUCCUGCUGCAUGCCAGGUCUUCUCUGUUAUCAUGGACUCUAGCUCUCUGUAAGAACUGUAAGACACACACACUGUUUCUUCCUUAAGUGCUUUUGGUCAUGGUAUUUUAUCUCAGCAACAGAAAGUAACUAAUACAGAGAGAGAGACACAGGGAGAGGACCUGGCUCCUCUUGGUUAAGGGCUUUGUUCCCUCUGGCCUCUGGCCUCAGUCGGGCUGGAAGCUCUGCUCCCUGACCUUCAGCCUUGCAAUCUGGAGUUAAGAACCAUCUCCUAGGUCUGCACUGGCCUCACCUCACACAAAUUCAUGGUAUCAUGGUAGUGUUUUCUUGUUCUUCCUCACCGUGAGAUCCCCGUAGUAACAAGGACAUACCCACCCAUGCCCCAUAUUCCAUAUAUUUUAUUUUUCCCUGACUGCACUAUCUAACAUCCUUCAUUGGAAAAGCCCCCUUGGCCAUCCAUCAGCUGCCUAUCUUUUGACCUGAGGGAUGAGACCUACUCCAGGCCCCAGCUUGCUUUCUGCCUUCACUCCUCACAGUCUUAGCAACGCAUCUUCUAUUUCAAAAAGUGUUCUGUCCAUCUGGGAUGCUGGCUGUGCUAAGCACCAGGCUAAUACCAGCUUCUAGGGUGUCUCAUUUCAACACAUUUCCAAAACAAAACAAAGCAAGACAAAACCAAAACCAAAACAAAACGACGUCAUAGGUGCUGAUCAUUGUACCGUGAACAUCUUCCUUAUCUAGACUAUAAAGUACAAGAUUUGAGGCUUACCCAUCAGAGAGCCCUGAAGUGGGUCCCCUCCUCAGACACAAACUAUAGGACUCUUAAUUUCUGUUGCUCGCUCACUGGGGGUCAGCUAUGAGGAAUAACAUGCCUUUAUUAUUUUUUUUUUCUGGCAGUAAUCCUGUGGACCAAACAUACUAUUUAGAAAAGAUACUUUGCUAAACUUUUUACUGAGAACUAUCUAACUCAAAUUCCCUGCCACCUCUGUAGUUCCAGGAUGCCGCCAUGCCUGCCUGCUCGCUACCCUCUCCCCUGUGCCCUUCCCUCUGCUUCCUCCCCUCCUGUCUAUUUUGAGUGAUCAUCUACUUAACAGAGGAUCUACUCCCACGUAUCUAAGCAUGGCAGAGGUACUUCCCUAUGCUGUGUGGCUCUCUGGGGCAGUCUUCUUGGGGCCUGAACUACAAUGACUACUCCAUGCUAUGUCCUAGCCAUUUCUGCUACAGAUGGCCACAGGUUCUCAGACCCUUUUAGAUUGAACCAUCUAUACCACCUACUUGGACUCUGAACACUGCUCAUACUGUUGGAUAGGGGGUAAGUGAGGGGAGGGCAGGAAGCCCUGAGUUAUCCUUCUGGAAUGAGAGAUGCUCUUCUGGUCAGCUUUCCUGGCAGUGAGCACAGAGUGGUAUUGUUUUCCUUGGUGAUUCUGAAAUGCCUGCUGCCGAGCCCAGUCCCAGAGUAUGCUGAGAAUGUAGCCCACUGCCAGGCUGUUCUCACUUGAGAUCCGAAUCUUCUUUUCUCAUAUCUACCCUGAGCAAUCUUGCUUACGAUGCUAAUAUAGCCCUGGGCCUUUGGCACCAGUAGGUUGUAUCACAAGCAAAACAUACCAUAGAGUUCUUGCUGAAGGCUGAACCCUUUGUUGGGUGCAAGGGUGAACUCAUGUCUUCUGUUCCUUUAGGGCUUAGAAAGUUGGGUCAGCAGCCUUGUGGAGAAUGAAGCCAUGGUCUCUUUUCCCACCUUUUGACAAGGAGACUAUGUUGAUUACACAUGUCAAAGCUUCAUUUGUACCUUGCUGGAGGUCACCACAGAUCUGGCUUGGUACACUAUCUCAUUGUUCUGAAUGCCCAGCUACCACUAGGAUGCGAACAGCUGGCCAAUGGAGACCCUGAGUUCUCUGCAGGGACUGUGGCUAUUAGGACUCUUCUGGCAGGUCCAUCCAUCUGCAGACCUCUAGCUAAGAAGCUCAGAACAGGUCAGUGGCCAUGAGAGAAGGCAGAAAGUGUGGGGUCUGGGAGGGAGGGAUGAUGGGAGUUGUGUCAGAGCUGGUUUCUUCUGGUUCACUGUCACUAUCACCCAGACCUUCAGUGAGGGAUGGGAUGAUUCUGACCACAUUGUCUUCAAAGUGUACCUGCUUUUUCUUGGCCAAGGAGUCAGCCGGCUCCAGUGCCAGUUCCAUUAGGGUAUCUUGGGUCUGCAGGACACGUGGCUUCUUGGUCCCCUUUAGGAUGCUCUUCAUGUGGAUAAAGAAGGAGCCAGGCCCCUCCUUGAAGGCCUCAUGGAAAGUAUAGGUUUGCUCAGUGUCCCCAGAGCCUGUGGUGCUCACGACGCUGCUGGAAGGGUCUGUGUACUGCUCUGUGGGGGGUGCCACCUCUGGAGCAGCCUUUUUUUUCUUUCGCUUGCUCAGCAGGAAGUAGGCCAGGCCAGUGAUGAUUAACAUGGAGCCUGAAAAAGAUCUGGGAGGUCAAGACACUGGACAGACAUGCCAUGGAGGAAAAUCAGAGGUAGAGCAAGCCUAUCAAAAGCACCACUGCUGUACUGUACUGUACAGCCAUGCUCAGCACCCUGAUAGGUCUAGCCUUCACACACCCACACCAGACUCUGGGGCUGAUAUGAUGGCAUGACACAGCUUAAAGGUUCAAAGAGGACCAGUGCUGUGGGGGGCCAGGGUACAAAGGAAGGGAUCUGUCUGCUCUCUGUGCCCCACAUCCCCUCCAUAUGGAGAGUUGGUCUUGGUAUUGACUUCAUUACACCUUCAGUUUCCCUCUUGGGGUGGAUUAUCAAGGGCAGGCAUGUGUGAUGGCUUUGCUAGAUAUGGAUUCUGCUGGGGAUGUUGGAUUUGUUGGAUGUCUUCUCACUCUCAGAAAUGUGGAGAUUCCCCUAGUCCUCACCCAGUGAGCUUGGGGAGAUGUGAAUUUCUCAUGUUCAGUGGCACAGAGACUACUGCUCAUGAAUCAUCUGGGCUAGCCUGUAGACUCUGCUACAGGGUCUGCAGAAGCCAGGAACCUGACCACCAGUGCCCACCAGUCCUAGGGUCUCUUCAGUCUGCCUUUUCAGAGGGCAGGGCUUGUGGUUCACUCAGUGUCAGGGUGGAUCCUUCUAUUACUUUCUUCAGGGGCCGUGGCACAUUUGCUAAAGAGGAGAGCUUAGUCUCCUUCAGUUUAGUCAGGGGCUCUUUUGGUCUUUCUGAUGGGCCCUGGGAGGGCAGUGUAUGUAUAAAUAAAGAGAAAUCAAAAGGAGGGUUGUAGAAAAGAAGGUAAGAGACAGAAAUGUAGAGGUGGGGAUGGAUGUCAGUUCUGGGGUUAGAAAUUGAGCCACCCUGCAAGGCACUAGGAGGAGGAACAGAAGAUAAGCUGACAUGCUGUUUAGUGUGCCUUCCUAACCCAAGCCUGGAGCUUACAGCCGAGUGGGUAGGUAGCCAGGAGAUAUGCAAGGGUCUGGGCUGAGGAUUAGCCAUUUCACUCUUUGAAAGUGGCCAGAGAGAAGACAACUCAGAGUCCCGGUCAAAGGUCCAACCUCUGGAUGGCUACGUCCAGGAGGGCUUCACCUCAGGAUGUUCCCACUGCUUGGUCAGCAUAGUGGACAUCUGACAGUCAUGCUCACAUACUGGGUCAGAGAGGGUAGACAGGCUGGUAGGGACUCUGAGAGACAGAACCUGCUCCUCCUACUUAGGUCACAUCUGUGAAGGACCCACAUAUGUCCACUACCCCUGGUGCUCCUACCUGGAAUGGUCACAUGCCAGACCAGGACAGGGUGGAGGAAGCAGGCCACUGACAGCAGCAUGUAGGCGAGGAACUUCUGGAAGCAGCCCAGCCAGUGGGCCCUCUCCUUCGCUCUGUGUGCCAGAGACCCCGGCUGGCACCUGGGGGAUGGGGUUCAGCAUUAUCAGGUUAGUAGAAAUCAUUACCCCAAAGUCCCAGCUCAGCAGAAGGCCGUGGGAGCCUGGGGCUGAGCCCUGCAGUAUCUGUGAUCUCUGCAGUAGCCCUUGAUGGAGUAUCUGCAGGGGAUGGAGUCACAGAAGCCCAGGGUCCUCACACUAGGUUCUCUGGUUAGGAGGCUUCCUUGGGACACCCCAGAGGGUCCACAGGCUUCUUGCAACCCAUGUGUGCUUUCAGCCAUGGUUUUGACCAACAGGAAAGGGAAGCUGAUGGAAGUCUUUGGAAUUUGGGGGAAGUCUUUAAUGUACAAGUAACAGUACAGUACAAGAGCCAUCACCCCAGGAUCACUGUGUGGAUGGAACACUGCACACUACACAAAGAAUAAACAUACUGGGAUUUGGCUGCAUCAUGCUCGCUGUACCCUGCCAGGCAC
rnacentral:lncRNA from 1 species